CUACGGGUCGCACCAGUGAGGAAUAUUGCACAAUGGGGGGAACCCUGAUGUAGCAACGCCGCGUGGAGGAUGACGCAUUUCGGUGUGUAAACUCCUUUUAUAUGUCAAGAAAAUGACGGUAGCAUAUGAAUAAGCACCGGCUAACUCCGUGCCAGCAGCCGCGGUAAUACGGAGGGUGCAAGCGUUACUCGGAAUCACUGGGCGUAAAGGACGCGUAGGCGGGUUGGAAAGUCAGGUGUGAAAUCCUACAGCUUAACUGUAGAACUGCACUUGAAACUUCUAAUCUAGAGUAUGGGAGGGGGAGAUGGAAUUAGUGGUGUAGGGGUAAAAUCCGUAGAUAUCACUAGGAAUACCUAAAGCGAAGGCGAUCUCCUGGAACAUUACUGACGCUAAGGCGUGAAAGCGUGGGGAGCAACCAGGAUUAGAUACCCCCGUAGUC
rnacentral:rRNA from 1 species